UUUGUUUGCGCAGGAUAGGUGGGAGGCGCUGAAAAUUUUCUUGCGGGAAGAUUGGAGCCGUUGGUGAGAUACCACUCUAACAAUGCUAGGAUUCUAACCCUACACCGUUAUCCGGUUAGGGGACAGUUUCAGGUGGUCAGUUUGACUGGGGCGGUCGCCUCCCAAAAGGUAACGGAGGCGUGCAAAGGUUUCCUCAGGCUGGUCGGAAAUCAGUCGUAGAGUGUAAAGGCAUAAGGAAGCUUGAUUGUGAGACCUACAAGUCGAACAAAGACGAAAGUCGGCCUUAGUGAUCCGACGGUUCCGAGUGGAAGGGCCGUCGCUCAACGGAUAAAAGUUACUCUAGGGAUAACAGGCUGA
rnacentral:rRNA from 1 species